GGUCAAUGACAAGUAAUGUGUUACAUCAGGUAUGGAUAGUAUGUAAUGGUAAGUACAGGUUUACUUUAUUAAAUACAUAUGAUAAUGUUAAAAUUGAUCUAGAAUCGUGUUUUUAUUACUUGGUUAGUUUGUGUAUUCACUAGUUUAAUUCAUAAAAUGUAGUGAAAACAAGAAGCAAAAACUAGUAAAAAGAACGUCUUAUUUGCUAUCAUUUACAACAGACAAACUUAAGCGUCAUUUAAAAACAAGAUAACACUUGAUUGUGUGUCAAUCAAAUCCGAGGAUCAUAUUGAUUGAACAAGAAUGAAAUGCAUUCGUACAAUACUUAACCCAAAUUGUCAUCACGACAGUAAUAUUCACCACUGUAACAUACUUCCGUGUUCAUGUAUUAAUGAUAAUCCUUUAAAUGUCAGUUUAUUAACCCCAAUCCACUAUGUAUUGUCAAUGUUUACGGUUUUAACUUAAACUUCCAGAUUUUCAUUACAUGUUUCUGUCAAAUUUAUUAUUCUGACAAUUGCACUGAGAAAGGAGAAAGUUGGAUACGGAUCAUAUUCAAAAUAUAAAUAACAUUGUUCAGACAAAAGAUCUGUUUUUUUUUCGGCAUAUCACUUUACGAUCUUAAAAGCUUCCAGUUCUAAAACCAAUGGAAUGAUUACUUGAGUUUCGUUCAAUGCAGAAUUUGUAUAAAAGACUAUGUUGACAUUUUUCAAAACAAGUAAAAUCACAAAAAUACUGAACUCAGAGGAAAAUUCAAAUCGGAAAGUCCGUAAUCACAUGGCAAAAUCAAAUGACAAAACACAACAAACACGAAUGGACAUGAACUGUCAUAUUCCUGACUUGGUUCAGGCAUUUUCAAAUGUAGAAAAUGGUGGAUUAAACCUGGUUUUAUAGGGCUAGAAGAUCAAGCCAAGGACAAACCCUGUUUUAUGUGGUUCAUAAGUAGUUCUUGCUUCUCGUUUUUUUAAUGUAGAUUAGACAGUUGGUUUUCUCGUUUGAAUGGUUUUACACUAGUAAUUUUUGGGGUCCUUUAUAGCUUGCUGUUUGGUGUGAGCCAAGGCUCCAUGUUGAAGGCAUUACCUUGACCUAUAAUGGUUUAUGUUUAUAAAUUGUUGCUUGGAAGGAGAGUUGUCUCAUUGGCAUUCAUACCACAUCUUCCUAUAUCUGUAUAAUAGUUUUAAUGUACAUUUAAAAGGUACAACUAAUAAAAAAUAAACAGAGGACAAAGAAUGCUAAUCAUGCGUAGAUAACGUAUGUUUAGCAUGCGUUGUCCUUUGUUUAGAUAAUGAGAGAAAAAUAAAGAUUUUGUUUGAUUGAAAUUAGCAGUUAUAAAGUUUUGAAAAUCAAUAUAAAUUAAUCAAUAUAUUUCCCUCCUGUACAACUUAAAUUAUUUGCACGGUGUUGGUUGUACAUUAUGUCUCUUUUAUUUUGAUUAGCUCGAAACGAUUAUAAUUAGAUAUUCGAUUUACAUGUAUUAUGGCCUUCAGCAUCAUCAAAGAUACAUUAAUUGCCGUCAUGCGCAUCAAGUGGCAAUACCAUUGGUACUGUUUAUCUCAUCAAAAUACAAUAUUAAUAUUUAAAACACAAAAGAAUUUGUAAACUUAAUCAUUUUAUUACGGGCCGGCACUAAGCUGGCUAUAUAUGAUAUUGGUUUGAGAUUGUUACAUGAGUUUCUGCGGAUCUUUUUUUGUUAUUUUCUGCGGUAUAUGAGAAUUAAAGAUAUUAGGUUAUUGAAAUAAAUACUUUUUUUUAUUUAGUGAUAUAAUAAAAGAAGAUGUCAAAUAUUCAUUUUAAACAAUGAAUAUUCACUGUUUUGUUAUACACAGAAUGCGUGACCCGUAUUUGGGGAUUUCUCAAAGCAGGUUUUUUUCAAAAAUGUAAACUAGGUACCAAAUUCUUACAUGUGCAACCAAUAGUCGUCGGAUAAUGGGAAAUGAAUUAUUAUAGUUUGCGUUUUUUUUUCUUCUCUCAAAAUAAUUCUUUUAUAUUCUAUUUUGAUUAUUAUAUACAGUAUUCAUCAUUUCGAAAAAUAAUCAUGAUAAAGAUAUUUUCACUUUCAACGUAAUUUGUCAUGGGAGUUUUCCUAUAUGUUACAUGCAUGUUUCAGUAACUAAAAAUGAUUUUCAAACCUCUGAAAUAACCAUCUGGUGUUUGUUAAUACUUUGCAAUAUUACUGCAACCAAUUGCAAACAGAUGCGUCUAUAAUAGUCAGAAUCGAGGGUCCUAAAGAUAUGUCAUCAUGACAUAAAAUUCAUGGAUGCGGUGAAAGGCUGCGUUUAAGUCCAUAUAAGAGAUAAGUAAUACAAAUAGUUUGUCAGUCGAUGCAACUUUGAUAGUCACGAGUUUCAAAUUCAAGUCUUGAAAAUAUAUUAGAUCAUAUCCCAUUUCAUCAACUGCACUUAAAAGAUAUUCAAUAUCAUUACCUGUACAAUUAAGUUAUAUUUUAUAGCAUUAUCAUAACAAAUUGGUUUGGACCAGUUCCGCCAAUUGAAGAUUAAAGUUAUCUCAAUGUAUUUAUUCAAUACUUUGCACUUUUGUUCUGCAAAAACUUCCAUAAUUCCGCCCCAAAUAUUUGGUGUUUACACACAUUAAGUCUCUUUUUAUUAUUCUUUAAUAUGUUUCUCCCAGAUGGUGAAUAAACUGUCCGAAUAAUGUCGACAUUUAGAGAUGGAGCGUUGUUAGCGGCUGGAGGGACAGCUGGUUUAUCCUUCCUAGCAUGGAAAACCAUGUUUCCGUGGAUAAAGUAUGAUAUACAGACAUUGAAAAAAUUGAAGAACGUAGGACAACAGACAAACGACGAUAUCAUG
rnacentral:lncRNA from 1 species